rnacentral:rRNA from 1 species
AACGAACGCUGGCGGCAGGCUUAACACAUGCAAGUCGAACGGUUGUAGCAAUACAGCAGUGGCAGACGGGUGAGCAACACGUGGGAACCUUCAUAGGGGUACGGAACAACUCAGGGAAACUUGAGCUAAUACCGUAUACGUCCGUGAGUAGAAAGAUUUAUCGCUCAUAGACGGGCCCGCGUCGGAUUAGCUAGUUGGUGGUGUAACGGCCUACAAGGGCGACGAUCCGUAGCUGACCUUAGAGAAUGAACAGACGCUAUAGAACUGAGACACGUCGCAGAAUCCUACGCUAGGCAGCAGUGGGGAAUCUUGGACAGUGGGCGAAAGCCUGAUCCAGCCAUGCCGCGUGUUUGAAGAAGGUCUUCGGAUUGUAAAGCUCUUUUGCCAGGGACGAUAAUGGCGGUACCUGGAGAAUAAGCCCCGGCAAACUUCGUGCCAGCCGCCGCCGUAA